UACAGAGGGGGCGAGCGUUGUUCGGAAUUACUGGGCGUAAAGGGCGCGUAGGCGGCCUUCUAAGUCGGACGUGAAAUCCCUCGGCUCAACCGAGGAACUGCGUCCGAUACUGGUUGGCUUGAAUUCGGGAGAGGGAUGCGGAAUUCCAGGUGUAGCGGUGAAAUGCGUAGAUAUCUGGAGGAACACCGGUGGCGAAGGCGGCAUCCUGGACCGAUAUUGACGCUGAGGAGCGAAAGCCAGGGAGCAAACGGG
rnacentral:rRNA from 1 species